AUGAAGAACGUAGCGAAAUGCGAUAAGUAAUGUGAAUUGCAGAAUUCAGUGAAUCAUCGAAUCUUUGAACGCACCUUGCGCCCUUUGGCUAUUCCGAAGGGCAUGCCUGUUUGAGUAUCAUGAACACCUCAACUCUCAUGGUUCGCCAUGAUGAGCUUGGACUCUGGGGGUCUUGCUGGCCUAUGGUCAGCUCCUCUCAAAUAAAUCAGCUUGCCAGUGUUUGGUGGCAUCACAGGUGUGAUAACUAUCUACGCUUGUGGUUUUCCAUCAGGUAACCUUCAGUGAUGGAGGUUCGCUGGAGCUCAUAAAUGUCCCUCCUCAGCGAGGACAGCUUUUUGAACGUUUGAUCUCAAAUCAGGUAGGACUACCCGCUGAACUUAAGCAUAUCAAUAAGCGGAGGA
rnacentral:misc_RNA from 1 species